GAGUUUGAUCGUGGCUCAGGACGAACGCUGGCGGCGUGCUUAACACAUGCAAGUCGAACGAGAAUCUACUGAAAGAGUUUUCGGACAAUGGAAGUAGAGGAAAGUGGCGGACGGGUGAGUAACGCGUGAGGAACCUGCCUUGAAGAGGGGGACAACAGUUGGAAACGACUGCUAAUACCGCAUGAUGCAUAAGGGUCGCAUGAUUCUUAUGCCAAAGAUUUAUCGCUUCAAGAUGGCCUCGCGUCUGAUUAGCUAGUUGGCGGGGUAACGGCCCACCAAGGCGACGAUCAGUAGCCGGACUGAGAGGUUGAACGGCCACAUUGGGACUGAGAUACGGCCCAGACACCUACGGGAGGCAGCAGUGGGGAAUAUUGGGCAAUGGGCGCAAGCCUGACCCAGCAACGCCGCGUGAAGGAAGAAGGCUUCGGUAUGUAAACUUCUAUCAGCAGGGAAGAAAAUAGACGGUACCUGACUAAGAAGCCCGGCCUAACUACGUGCCAGCCGCCGCCGUAAU
rnacentral:rRNA from 1 species